rnacentral:rRNA from 1 species
UGGGGAAUUUUGGACAAUGGGCGCAAGCCUGAUCCAGCCAUGCCGCGUGAGUGAUGAAGGCCCUAGGGUUGUAAAGCUCUUUCACCGGUGAAGAUAAUGACGGUAACUGGAGAAGAAGCCCCGGCUAACUUCGUGCCAGCAGCCGCGGUAAUACGAAGGGGGCUAGCGUUGUUCGGAUUUACUGGGCGUAAAGCGCACGUAGGCGGACUUUUAAGUCAGGGGUGAAAUCCCGGGGCUCAACCCCGGAACUGCCUUUGAUACUGGAAGUCUUGAGUAUGGUAGAGGUGAGUGGAAUUCCGAGUGUAGAGGUGAAAUUCGUAGGUAUUCGGAGGAAAACCAGUGGCGAAGGCGGCUCACUGGACCAUUACUGACGCUGAGGUGCGAAAGCGUGGGGAGCAAACAGG